rnacentral:lncRNA from 1 species
AGUAAUCAAGAAAUCAUUGGUUCAAAUUCAUAGCAUACGAUAACAUCAGGACCACCCCCUAGCAUCAGGGGGUUUAGCCUCUCAUAGUACUUAAAGAACUCAUAAAGUAAAGAUUAGACAUUACAAAGAAUUAGGAGAGUUUGAUCUUCAAUGGUUACUACCCUUGAAUCUCGUCGUCUUCAAAUCCGUUGUAUUCGCUAUCUUCUUC